rnacentral:rRNA from 1 species
UGGUGCCUACGGGGCGCAGCAGUAGGGAAUUUUCGUCAAUGGGCUCAAGCCUGAACGAGCAAUGCCGCGUGAACGGGGAAGGUCUUCGGAUCGGAAAGUUCUGUUGAAGGGGAAAAAGAGCGGAGAGAGGAAAUGGUCUCCGAUUGAUAUUACCCUUCGAGGAAGUCACGGCUAACUACGUGCCAGCAGCCGCGGUAAUACGUAGGUGGCGAGCGUUAUCCGGAAUGAUUGGGCGUAAAGGGUGCGUAGGUGGCCUGCUAAGUCUGGAGUGAACGGUACCGGCUCAACCGGUACAGGCUUUGGAA